rnacentral:rRNA from 1 species
UACGUAGGGUGCGAGCGUUGUCCGGAAUUAUUGGGCGUAAAGAGCUCGUAGGCGGUCUGUCGCGUCGAUCGUGAAAACUUGGGGCUUAACCCUGAGCUUGCGGUCGAUACGGGCAUGACUGGAGUUCGGCAGGGGAGACUGGAAUUCCUGGUGUAGCGGUGAAAUGCGCAGAUAUCAGGAGGAACACCGGUGGCGAAGGCGGGUCUCUGGGCCGAUACUGACGCUGAGGAGCGAAAGCGUGGGGAGCGUACAGG